AGGGAGCACAGACUCAGUAAAAGCCUUGCGUUGUUAGUCCUGCACUGCUUACAAGAGAUGCGACUCCAGCUCCAGAUCAUCAAAGAGCCCACAUAUCACAGUAUUAGAGUGAUUGGGUGAUGUGUAUCUCGCCGCCCGGUCCGACAGACCCAGACGCCCAGAGGACAGAUCUGCUCUCUCACCUUUGCGGGUCCUGAUACACCUAUGAUACCGCUUUGCCCACAAGGGAGGUUUCCAAGAUCAAAUAAGUUCCUGUGGUCAAGUGCUUGGCACUGUGCCUGGCCCUCAUCUGCUGUGGAAAGUGACGCACACCAUCAUCAGGGCCAGGUGACGGGGAAGCUCCCGGACAAGCUAGCCAAACCCAGGAGGGAAAUGAAGCAUGGGAUAUACAACUCAACGGACCCAGCACCACUGCCCGGAUGCCCAAGAAUCAGAAGGUGGUCCUCAACGGCUGCAGUUCUCCAGAUCCUCGCUAGAGGGCGAUUUAACAUAUUUGCUCUCCCCAGAUUACUUGAAUUUACCCACGUUUAUGAGGCCCAGCCCUCUGACCCUGUCAGUUGACUCCCUCACAGCAAAUGACU
rnacentral:lncRNA from 1 species